GGGAUUAGCUAGUAGGUANGGUAAUGGCUUACCUAGGCGACGAUCCCUAGCUGGUCUGAGAGGAUGACCAGCCACACUGGAACUGAGACACGGUCCAGACUCCUACGGGAGGCAGCAGUGGGGAAUAUUGCACAAUGGGCGCAAGCCUGAUGCAGCCAUGCCGCGUGUAUGAAGAAGGCCUUCGGGUUGUAAAGUACUUUCAGUCAGGAGGAAGGGUGUGAAAUUAAUACUUUCAUGCAUUGACGUUACUGACAGAAGAAGCACCGGCUAACUCCGUGCCAGCAGCCGCGGUAAUACGGAGGGUGCAAGCGUUAAUCGGAAUUACUGGGCGUAAAGCGCACGCAGGCGGUUUGUUAAGUCAGAUGUGAAAUCCCCGGGCUCAACCUGGGAACUGCNUUUGAAACUGGNAAGCUU
rnacentral:rRNA from 1 species